UGAACGUCGGAUUAAUUGUAAGUUGAGGUGGGGCCCACACGUCAAGAUUUUUUUUGGGACAUGUGACAAAUUAUAUGAAUCACAUAUGUGAAGUUAAACACAACUCAAGAAGGACCCUUGGGCCAAAUCAAAGUGGAAGUCCUCCAAACGAAUAUUUUUAAGAAAACGUUUUCGGGUAACCUGACUUUGGGGGGCAAAAACGAUAUUAUAAGUUUGGAAUUUGGAAAAGUACCAAGAAAUAGAAGUUGUAGAUAAUUGAAUUAGCUUUCCAUCCAUAGGUCGUGGGUUCCCAGGUGACGUCGGUACAAGGAGAUAUGGACGUUUUAAGGCAGAAAGGUCAGUGGGCUAGGCCCAAUCCGAGCCCAACCGGGUUAGGCCCAUUACCCAUGUCCUUAUAAGUGCCAAUUUCGGCCUUCUUCAUCAUUUUAACACCAGGAACAACCAGAAAAUUCUGGAAAGAGAGAGAGGAGCUUUGGAGAGAAAAAAAAACAAUUUUGACCAAAAUCCGAGCCCCGAAUCCCGAAGCCCAUGAAGGGAAAAGUGUUGUACGCUACGUUGUCUUCAAUUUGAGCUAAAAAUCAACCAAAGAGGAGAGUGAUGACGUGGUGGCUGCCUACUUAAGAUUCGGAGUGAAACGGGAUUUGAGUUUUGGCGAACGUAAGACGCAUAUAAGGUACCGACGACAGGUUUGCUGAGCCGUCCGCUUAGGAUCUUAUUCUCCUAUUUUGGAGAGCUCUCUUAUCCAGAGCCCAUCUUUUGGUAUAGUCUGUCACUACUGUAUAUAUAUAUAUAUAUUCUCGUUCAUGGGUAUGGCGGGGCCCUGUCCCGUCAUAUGAUUCUGUCGGUCUGUUUAGAGGUCUGUGGACAUGUUUGUGGGUUAGGGUCUUUCUGUAUGGAUGUAUGUACAUGUCGUUUGGGCGAUCCCAUACGCCGAGGCGGCCGGUCCGCGUAUGUUUAUAUAUUGCUUGGUUAGCCCUGUGUGGCUUUUGUUGGUAUUUUCUGCGUGCAGGGUAUAUUGGAUAGUCCGUAAAACAAAGGAAACUCUGUCGAAAUUUUUCUGGAAAUUACCUAAAUUUGAAAUAAAGCCUUGUCGGCUUCCGCCAUAUACUAGAAUGAGUUGAUAGAAUUUGAGAUAAUAUUUGAUAGAUGGGUUCGGGUGCCCAGAUCGGGCACUAGUCACGGCCGACGGGGUUG